GCCGUGGUGUAGUGGUCAGCACGCUCGGCGCGUAUUCGAGAGGUCCGUGGUUCGAGUCCCGGCGAGGGCG
rnacentral:tRNA from 1 species